AUGUAUGUUUGUUUUGUGUUGAUAUGCUUAAAUUUACAAACGUACCCUGUCUGUUUUUCUUUAAAAUUUUGGAAUAUGAUGUGUGUUGUGACAUCCCUUCCGUGCAAAUUUAUUUUCUCUGAUUUUAAUUCUUGCCUUUUAUUUGGGGUAAUUAGAAGGGUGUUACAAUUGUGGUAUCAGAGCAUAGUCGGUCAGUUGUCAGGUCUUAUUUUUGUUAAUCCCUUGUAUUUGAUUGUGUGGCUAACGCGAUCAAUACUUUGUGUUGUAGAGAAGAUGGCUGGUAGAAGGAAUGAUGAUGCUUUAGCUGAGGCAUUGAGGUUGCUUGCGGGGUCAAUAAAUCAGAUGCCGCAAACG